AUUGGUUGAUGUUUUCGCCGCGUCGAUUCGAAGUGAAACGAAGAAAUAAGUAGAAGCGAAGGUCCCCGAAGAGGUGAAUGAGGACUUUACCACUAUGGACAUUUGAACAGUAUGCAGAAGAAGACGGAUCUGGAACUAGAAAGCAAGGCUUUGACUGGUCUACUACAGCAAGGAAUGUGCCAGCGGCCAAUCUGAUGAACAUGUGACAGAAGAUUUGGCAAUGGGUGAAGAAAUACUGAGAUUGAAAUGCAACCACAGGUGGAGGCUUCAACCAAACUUUUCAGACAGACAUGAGAUACAAAGUUACACAAGUAUAAAUGGUUGAAGGUUUAGGAGAGCCAGACAAGAAGGCAGGACAUGUGAUGUCACUUUUACUUCAAUGAACAUGGACAGCAGCAGGAGCAACAACAGCAUCAGCAGCCGAAACUACAACUGCAGUAAGAGAUGCAACAACCACACCGACAACAUCAACAGCAGCAGGAGCUCCAACAACCAUGCAGGGAACAUCGGGCGCAACAUAAAUAACUUCAUCAAGAGAUGCAACACCCACAGUGCUUAACAUCAACAGCAGUAGCAACAACGACAGUAGAAACAAAGUCAACAGCAAGGAUUCUAACAAUCAAUCAUACAAGCAACAACAUCAAUAAAUGCAUCAGGAGAUGCAACAGCCACACUUGUAAACAGCAGCAGUAGCAGCGAUGACAACAGCAACCACACAGGCAGCACCUUGAGCAACAUCAGUAGCAAAAAUAACUAAUUGCACCAGGAGAUGCAACAACCACACCCACAACACCAAGAGCAGCAAAAACAAACAGCAAUUCCAGCAAUCACGAUGACAACAGCAGCAGCAACACCAACAGCACUAAUGAACAUUGAAAAAACUUGAACAAAAGUCAAUGAGGUCGCAUUUUUCAGACAUUAUCAGACAUUAUUGAUUAAAAAAUGCACAAUAAUUUAUUUGGGUUAAAGAAAAUUAUGUUUGAAAAAAUGUGUACAUUUGAAGAUGUUUCCUAUGUAUUGAUUGAUAUAAUAUAGUUUUAAAGAUGAAAAUAUGAAUCUUGAAAUGUCUACUUUUUAUUUGUCAUUGACUAAAAAUAAAUACAUUUUCUUUGAAUUUUCUUAAUGAAAUGAAAAAUAAGCAAUUUAUUAAAAUGUUAUAUUGAAAAUCAACUGAAAUUGAUCAAUUUUAGCUGCGAAGGUCCACAAAAGGCUGAUUAGUCCGAGCGUAAAGUAACUCGUAAACUUACGAACAGCUUUAUGAAACACCAACUUGGCAGGGGCCGCGGAAUGGUUUUCAAAGUGUGAGGGGGGGGGGGGGCUGAGCCAAAAGUGGGGGGGGGGGGCUGACCAUGCAAAAAAAUCAUAUGGUAUUUUUUACGUUUUUGUACACGGUUUUGGAAAAAAGUGGGUGGGGGGGGGGGGCUGAAGCCCCCAGCCCCCCCCCCCCCCGCCCGCUUCCGCAUCCCCUGCUUGGUACAUUAUAUUUGUCCUUAUCAUUGGCGUAAUGAGGCAAAAAAAUUGAGGGGGCAGAUAUGGCUUAUCGGGCAAAAUUUAUUUUAAGAAAUAAAAAUUUCGACAAUUUCAUUACAAACAUUCAAUUUUGUGAUAGGUUUUGACAUAAUAUUCAGAGAAUAAUAUAAUACUUCACCCUUCUCCCGUUAAUUAUCUUUCCUUUUUCCUUUUUUUUUCUCGGUCGUGAUUUUUUAAGGGGGAGACAAGAGCCCCAGGACUCCAUCUGUACACCACUGCUCUUCAUCCAUUUUUGAAUCCAUUCAAAGUCAUAACAUAUUAUUUUGAUACACCUAAAAAAAUCAAGCUCCCCCCUCUGCAAAAAAAAAAAAUUGCUACACCGUGGCUGGGAACCAACCCAUACGCCCAGGGCUGUGCUUGAGCGGUAGGUCUGAUGGGAUAAACCAGCACUUUUUUAUUUGCUUAUAAUUAGUAGUCUUAUGAAAAAGCAGCAUUAACUAGAUCAUGUAAUCAUUCAGUAAGAAUUUCAUUAGAUGCGUGAGGAACCGUACUUUGUGCUUCUGAACUGAGGUACAGUAUAUAAACAGAGCAUGCAUUUUACACUUUUGUAAUUAACUAAAGUAAAAAUCAACAUUAAACUGAAAAACCUUCGAAACUUACAGUAAUUUUUAAAAAUUGUUCAAAAUAGGAUUCCCCCUAAUCACAAUCUGUAAUAAAUAAUUAUCGAUUCCUAAUACCGAUAC